CCCUUAGAUGUUCUGGGCCGCACGCGUGCUACACUGAGUGGAUCAGCGGGUCAGGUUGCGCGAAAGCGUUUCCUAAUCUUUAAAUCCGCUCGUGAUGGGGAUUGACGGUUGCAAUUUUCUGUCAUGAACGAGGAAUACCUUGUAAGCGCGGGUCAUCAUCCCGCGCUGAAUACGUCCCUGCCCUUUGUACACACCGCCCGUCGCUACUACCGAUUGAGUGGUCCGGUGAGGCUUUGGGAUCUGAGCGGAAAGAGCGUUUCGCUGUUUCUGCUCGGAAAACUCAGUCGAACCUUAUCAUUUAGAGGAAGGAGAAGUCGUAACA
rnacentral:rRNA from 1 species